UUGGUUUUUCGAGACAGGGUUUCUCUGUGUAGCUUUGCGCCUUUCCUGGAACUCACUUGGUAGUCCAGGCUGGCCUCGAACUCACAGAGAUCCGCCUGGCUCUGCCUCCCGAGUGCUGGGAUUAAAGGCGUGCGCCACCACCGCCCGGCUAAGAUUUUUUUUUUUUCAAAUUGUGCUGUGAUUUAAAUGUGCCCCAAAUAAACUACCUGGUGUCAUACUCUUGAAGCUUGAACCAACAACAGUUACUGGGUUGCGUGAAACCAGACUUCCUCUUUGCCUCCCUCGGACUGACACUCUGUUGGCUGUGGUGGUUGCAGAGACCCCCACACCUGGAAACUUAAAGGCCUAUAGGACCUACCCCCCAAUAGUUGGACCCUCCUGCUCCCCCAAACAGUUCAAAGCAGAUCAGGGCAUGUUUAUACAGCAGUUGUGGGCCAAUCAGCCGCUGACCCUAAGUUAGGGGAGGAAGACCCUUCAAAGACUUAAUUUGAAAGAAAAGACUCUUAUAUGAGGUGAUAUUUGGGGAGAUCUACAUCUGUGUUCCCAAGCCACGGACACACGUUUUUGGCUCUAGAACGAUCCAUGUUUUAUUCCUUUGAGGUGAGAGCUGACUUUCGGUGGACAGCGGCCAAACCUGGUUUGUGGGAGCACAGGCAGUGAUCCCCAAGUUCUGCAACAUUGUGUAGAAAAUACUUCACCAACUGAAAGUCCUUGAGAGAGGAAGCAGCUAUAACUAGUAUGAAAGGAGAGCUGUUGGGGGAGCCCUCAAGAUCUUCGGUUCUCUAGCCCAUGAGUCUUAAGAGACCGUGAGAUCUUAAAUUCAAUAGCGCACAUUGAGGCAGAUUAUUUCUUGAGGCCACAAGAGAGAGAGUGAGGAAAGGGUUAUGGACUGCCCAGGGGAGUCAAGAAGUCUUUUGUAAGGCCUUGGGGAAAAGGCAUGGGAUGUUUCAGACCAGUGGGAGGAGGAAGGGCUCUUGCUAAUGUGUGAGGUGUGGAGGAGGAAUGCAUUUCCUUAACAUCUAGCCCCCUCACGCCUGAAUCUGGCCAUCCGAGCUCUGUGAGCCUCCUGCCAUUCCCAGGAAUCUUGACACCCGAGGAGUCUGUUUACAGACUCCCAGGCUCUCAGAAGAGUGUCCAUGUCUCUCUGUAGCAGCAGGGGUCCCAGGAUCAACUAUGAGGACCAGAGAGGGAGGCUCCAGAUGGGCUUAACUUGAGCAACAUCUGGUCUGGAACUUAAUAUUUCUUUUCUGGAGUCCUGGUACUGGAUACUGGGGGCCUGUUACAGAUUCACAGACAAGCUCUUCAUAGGGCACAGGUUAGGGUGGCCUGAUUAGCCCCUGGUUUAAAUCUAACAGGAACGGUGUGAUAAUGUUAGCAAGUGUGAGAGAAGGAUUGCUGCUGGAUCUCCAGAAGCAAGUGCACCUGAGAUUCCCAGUCACUCAGACACAAUGCCAACCCUUGUUCCACCCACUAUCCCCUAGAACCUGGGCGACUGAUCCCAGAGAACCUCUGAGUAUCUCAUGGCCAAUGGCUGCACUGAAGGAACUUUUCCUUGUCAUCGACUGCAGAAUAAAACACAGGUGACCGUUCCCUGCCUCUUUUCAUCUACAGGAGAUCUGAAGGGGGUGGGGGGAAGCUCUUUGGACGAUCUGGAAGGUGAUUUGGGUCACUUAGGAACUGAGGUUACAACUUUCAAGUCAAGAGAUGUAUUUCUUGUAACAUCCACUAGAGGGCACAGGUUCCCCAACACCGUCAACACACCCAUUCUGAGGUGUGGUAGCCUUAGGAAGGUCUGGACAAGCUGGGAGUGAGAUAAAAGAAAUGGGUGCUUGCUCAUGAGUGGGGAAACUGAGGCAGACACAAACACUCACUGACAUGUGAACAGAUUCAAGUUCAUGUAACAAAGCCUGAGCCAGAAAGUCACUGUGACGUUAAUCUUGAUCUUCACUUGACGGGGUCCAGAAUCUCCAAGCACACAAGCCUCCCUGUGAGGUUGUUUCCAGGCUGAGAUGAUGGAGGUGGAAAGACCCUCCCUACUUGUGAGUGACACAAUCCCAUGGGCUGGGGUCCCGGAUGGAAUAAAAAUGAGAAAGUGAGCUGGGCACCAGCAUCCACCUCUCUCGGCUUCCUGACUGUGGAUGCCGUGUGACCAGCUGCCUCACACUCAGCCUGGCACCACGAUGGCUGUACCCUGGCACCCUGGCACCACAAUGGCUGUACCCCGGUACCCUGGCACCAUGAUGACUGUACUCUGGCACCACGAUGGCUGUACCCUGGUACCCUGGCACCAUGAUGACUGUACUCUGGCACCAUGAUGGCUGUACCCUGGCACCCUGGCACCACGAUGGCUGUACCCUGGUACCCUGGCACCAUGAUGGCUGUACCCUGGCACCCUGGCACCACAAUGGCUGUACCCUGGUACCCUGGCACCACGAUGGCUGUACCCUGGUACCCUGGCACCAUGAUGGCUGUACUCUGGCACCAUGAUGGCUGUACCCUGGCACCAUGAUCCAAAACAAAUUCUUUCUCUCUUAAGUUGCUUUUGUCACAGCAAUGAAAAAUUCAUCAAUACAGGUCUGAAUGCAAUGUUGGGCACCUGGGAGAAGAGAGGGUGAGGCAGUAGCGCCAGCCAGAGGCUUAGGAACUGGUGGCCGGGAGCUGCUGAACGAAGCAGACGAGUGUAUCAUCUGAACUCGGAGGGAGUCAGGUCCUGGACUUGUCCUCUGUGGUGCCAGAGCUAAGUAGACAUAUUGAAUGCAGGGCCCAGUUUAUGCAGCGCUGGGGUUGGGACUUGGACGUCACAGAUGCUCAACAGACACUCUGCCAGCCGGGCCUCACCCUCAACACAGCGGAAGCCAACUCUCUCUGCCAGACAGGUUCAGAUGAACAGGCUGCCUAUCCCACAGGAUGAGAAAUGAGCGGCUGCCCUGCAGAUGAUGGGCAGCUGAAGGGAUCCUGAGCCGUGAUGGUCUCCUGUGGUUUCCUGACAAUCAGUCGCUAUGCUGUUCCAAAGGGGCUUUUUUGCUGAAUCUGGAGAGCCCUGAUUCAGACAGACUGGCUGCCCUGUAAGCAUCAACGAUCUGCUUGCCUCCAUGACCUCAGCAGAUCUGCUUGCCUCCAUGACCUCAGCAGAUCUGCUUGCCUCCAUGACCUCAGCAGAUCUGCUUGCCUCCAUGACCUCAGCAUCAUCAGCCUGGGAUUACAGAAAAGGCAGGCCUCCCAUGGAUAUGUGAUUGCCCUGUGCCUUCAUUUUUGAGACAGGAGUUAACCAAUUUGGCUAGACUAUUUGGUCCCGAGCUUCAGGAUCCACCUCCUGCACUGGGAUCACAUGGACAAGCUGUGGCUCGGGCACUGGAGAUCUGAAGUCAAGUUCUCGGCAAGCAUCGCAUUUCUGAGCCAUCCCCUCAACACUGCUUUGAUUCUUAUGCUACAAAAUGACUCAAGGGCUGCUGAGAUGGCUCAGCUGGUAAAGGUGCUUGCUGCCAAGACUGACGACCCGAGUUUGAAUUCAGAACCCACAUUGUGGAAGAGGAGAUCUGCCUUCUGCCAACGGUCCUCUGACCUCCACAUGGGCACCGUGGCCUGCUUCUUUCCCUCCAAAAUACAACUCGUAAAAAAAUUUAAAAAUGAUUUGGAAUAAAUAAGUGCUAAAUAACCACACUGCAUGGUUUGACAACACACAGUAAAUCUCAGGUUUAAAAGUCACAAGGGUGACCUCACAAUUGCAGGUCAUUUUUUUUUUUCAGGCAAAAUGGCCGCAAAGUUGAAAGGUCAUUAAUGGACUUGCAGAACUUUGCAGAGACUAAAGGUGACCCCUUAUAAUUCCUACAUUGAGACUCACCCCUAAUGUGUUGAUGUUGAGAUGGAACUUUUGGGGGCUGAUUAGCUCAUGAGAGCUGAGCCUCAGCCGGGCAGAGGCAGGAGGAUCUCUGUGAGGAGGAUCUCUGUGAGGCCA